rnacentral:sRNA from 1 species
GGCGCGCUAUGGGCUGCACGUGCGCUUUCGAGGCGAGCAGCAGCUGCGCCGGGACUACGGCCCGAUCCUGCGCAGCCGAGGCUGUGUUAGCGCCAAGGACUUCCAGCAGCUGUUAGCAGAGCUUGAGCAGGAGGUGGAGCGGCGGCGGCGGCUGGGGCAGGAGUCAGCAGCUAGGAAAGCCCUCAUCGCGAGUUCCUACCACCCGGCACGGCCUGAGGUCUACGACUCACUGCAGGAUGCAGCUCUGGCUCCCGAGUUCCUGGCCGUGACUGAGUACAGCGUGUCCCCAGGCGCAGACCUCAAGGGCCUUCUCCAGCGGCUGGAGACAGUAUCGGGUGAGGUCCUGGCCCUGAGACCUGGCAGGACCAGGGAAUGGCAGCCUGGGAAACCUGGGUGUGGGAUGCUGGGGUCCCUCCAGCCACCAUCUCUGCCUCCAAAAACCAAACCAGCAGGAGCUGGAAGGGUCAGUGGGACCAACCUGCCAGGAGCAGGACAUCCGCAUUCAUUCAUUCAAUACCUGCCAUGAGCCUGGUAUCUUCAUUCUUUCCUUCACCCUUCCUUCGUGCCCUCAUCCAGCAAAUAGUGGAUAUUUGUGUCAUGUGUGGGACAGCUGGCACACUCAAACAGGGCUGAUCCAAGAUCUUAAAGGGACCAUUGAGACAGGUAUGGGCAGGAUAAAGGGACCAGUAAGGAAUGGCAAAGCCCGGCCCCCCAGGGCUGGCAACAGGAGGGAGCAGUUACCACCUGGAGUUGUGGCUCUGGGCGGAGGCCUGCAGCCAUGCCAAACUCCAAGUAGGGCAAGAAAUGCCCCACUUCUCUUCAGAUUUCCUGCUGGGCUCACUUAUUGGCUAAACCCAGCAGGAAAUGCUGGGCAAGGGAGGUUUGCGUGUUGUUUAACCUCUGAUUCAGUUUCCUUAUCUGUAAAAUGGGAGCAACAGUAACCCCCUCUCUUAAGGCACUGUGACGAUCAAGUGAGUUAAUCUGCAUAGAGUGCCUGUCACAGGGCCCGCACGUAGUGUUUGGAAAGUGUUUCCUAUUCUUAUUGGCACUGAUAGCCUGGGCUAGGGGCUCCUGUGGGAGGCAGAUACAAGUUUCCCCUCAUGGAGCCUGUGCUUUGUUGGGGGUCAUGGGUGGAAUGAAUCCCCCUCCUCCCAGCCUGGGGGUGCUCUCCUCAUUGCCUUCCACUCCCCGGCAGCUGAGAUAGUGCUGAGGCUGUUGGCUGGGGCAGGGCCUAGGCUGCGAGGUGGCCCCAUCGUGGGCACACUAGCCCUGCACCCCUGGGCAUUGGUGCGUCCGCCAAGAAAUGUUUAGGUUUCCAUUCUCAGCCUGGCUUCUUCCCCCUCAGGGCCCAGCAAGAAAGAACAGCCCCUUCUGGCCUUCCUGCUGGGGGACAGAGGCUCCCAGAGCCACUUCUGAGUUGGGGUACAGACUUCGGUGGCUCAUCAGAUGAAAGGAGGUGCAGAGAGAGCCUGAAGUUGGCUCUGUGAUCCCGACUUGGCUGUCACUGGCCUGCUGGGUGUCCCUGGGCUACUUCCUUCCCCUCUCUGGGCCUCAGGACCCAUAUGUGAGCUCCCAGGGCCAGCCCUGUGGACACUUGUAGUCUGGGGAAAGGUUCCGGGCAUAAGUGGGGGGCAUGGGAAUCGGCCUCCCCUGCUCCUCAUGUUACUUCCUUAAGUCAUCACAAUAGCCCUGAAAAGCAAAGGCCUCAUCCCCAUGGCACAGGUGAUGAAACAGGAAGACUGAAGCCCAGGCCUGGCAGGCCCACGGCCACAUUCAGGCCAACAGACCAUCCCUCCUUCCACAGAGGAGAAGCGCAUCUACCGGGUGCCUGUGUUCACAGCGCCCUUCUGCCAGGCCCUGCUGGAAGAGCUGGAGCACUUCGAGCAGUCGGACAUGCCUAAGGGGAGGCCCAACACCAUGAACAACUACGGGGUGCUGCUGCACGAGCUCGGGCUGGACGAGCCGCUGAUGACACCACUGCGGGAGCGCUUCCUGCAGCCGCUGAUGGCCCUGCUGUACCCUGACUGUGGCGGGGGCCGGCUCGACAGCCACCGGGCCUUUGUGGUCAAAUACGCGCCGGGCCAGGACCUGGAGCUGGGCUGCCACUAUGAUAAUGCUGAGCUUACCCUCAAUGUGGCCUUGGGCAAGGUCUUCACGGGGGGCGCCCUGUAUUUUGGGGGCCUCUUCCAGGUGAGUGUGUGACCCAUGCGGCAGGGCCUGGGGCAGCUGUGAGUGCCCAGGCCUGAGUCGUGCCAUCUGCAGGCACCCACAGCCCUGACGGAGCCCCUGGAGGUGGAGCACGUGGUGGGCCAGGGUGUCCUCCACCGUGGCGGCCAGCUGCAUGGAGCCCGGCCCUUGGGCACUGGUGAGCGUUGGAACCUUGUCGUCUGGCUCCGAGCCUCUGCUGUGCGCAACAGCCUCUGUCCCAUGUGCUGCCGUGAGCCCGACCUGGUGGACGAUGAGGGCUUCGGUGAUGGCUUCACCCGAGAGGAGCCCGCCACGGUGGAUGUAUGUGCGCUCACCUGAGCUUGCUUGGGCCCAGUGUGGGGGUGGCAGGCAGGUGAGGGCUCCGUUGCCUUGGUCUGGGGGCAGAAAUAAAAUCCCCGCAGCCUACUGCACUUCUUGGCUCAAGGGUGUGCCAGCUUCUGGGUCAUUCUAUGGGCAAAGAUGCUGCCUUAGUUCAGGUUUGUCAGAAGCAGAGUCUGGAAUGGGGCUUCAGCGAGGGAGUCAGGGAAGCAGGGGAGGGGAGGGAGCAGCUGGGCAAGGAAGUGGCUUCAGAGGACGUCCAGCCUCAGCUGGCCCCACGGAGAGCUCCAGGCAGAGCCCACAGUACCACAGUGUGCCCACACCACCGGUUACUGGCUCCUGGAUGAGGGGGCCAGAGAGGAGUGAAUAACUUCCCAGACACUUAUCUCCAGGGCAGGGUGCCUUCCAGUAGCCAAGGGAAGCCUCCAGAGAGCACAGAUGUGAACCCUCAGCAGCAGGCAUCACCCCCAGUGGACUCGGGUGGGCCACCAGUAGCAUCUUCUAGAUGGCAGAGGGGUGAAUGGCAGGGCCGGGAACCAGGCUGCCCGGGUUCCCAUUCUGCUUCUGCCACUUCCAGCUGUGUGGCUUUAGGUGAGCCUUCACCUUUUGGUGCCUUCGUUUCCUCAUUUAGCACCUGCCUCCUAGAGCUGUUUUGGGAGUCAAAUGCGCUGACGUAUAUAAAGUGCUUUCCAAGAUCCCUUUGUGUUUGCGGCUGUCAUUGUGGAAGAGUUGCAAUUUGGGGGCCCGAGAUUGGAUGAAGCGCACAGCCACGCUUUGGGUUACACAUUUGAAAGUCAGGGGGCUUCCAUAUUGCAGUCUUGAGUUUGGUCUCCCUGGGAAGGUGGGGCACCAGCCCCAUGCCACGUUGCACGGAUCAGCUGGAGCAGAAUCCCGGCUUCCUUCCGGAUGGGCCUGGGGUCCAUGCCCGCGCUCACUGCCAAGAUCUUUCUGGCCCCUACGGACACGAGUUUGCGACCUCUGAGUCACUGGGUGGGCGCGUCGGAAAGACCAGGGCGCCUCAGUCUGGAGCUCGCAGUCGUAUGGAGAGGGCAGGACCAGCCGGGAAGGAGGGCGGCGCGCGCGAGGGUCGCCUUCUUCCCAGGGCACCGGGGGCGUGGGUGCUGCGGGCGUGCGCCGAGAGGGCAGCCUUGGAAGCGGGCGCAGCUUCGGCAGACACAGGCGUGAGGGGCUGCGGAGCUCGAGGGCCGGCGCCCCUGCUUGCCUCUGCGGGAGGUGGGCGCGCCCGGGACGGAACCUGGGGCGUCAGAACGAAAGGCAGCGGCGCCGCGCUUCCCAGCCGGACAGCCUCCCGCGCAGCGCCCCGGCCGGAAGCCUCCUCGCCGCCGCUUCCUCUCGAGAAGGCGCGGGGCGGGCUGUCCGGCCCGCAGGGCGGUCGAGGUGGGAACGGAGCAGCCCCGGGGGCCCCCUUGAGGCGUUGAGGCCGCGAAGGGCGCGGGGCUGGAGGGUAGGAGAGCGCGGGAAAGCGCCCCAGACGCCACUCGCGGCGGACGGCGGCCAGUUCCCAGGGGUUUGGAUCCGGGUGCGCAGGCGUGGGGCCUCCGGGCAGGGGGCGGGCCCUUAACAGGCACCGCUGCGGGGACUGGAGUCGGCGGAGAAAACCGGGGUCCCCAGCGCUGGGGGUGGGUGAGGGUCGCUCAUUUUCCCGGGACGGUGACGGGUACUGGGCGUCGCCAGGCCCCGGCCCCGCUAGAGCCACCCUUGGAGCCCGCCCGCGGCCGGCCUUGGGGGCUUCGGCUCAAGCGCGUCUUCUCCGUCGCCAGCCCGCGGCGCCAUGGCUCACGUCGGCUCCCGCAAGCGCUCGAGGAGUCGCAGCCGGUCCCGGGGACGGGGGUCGGAAAAGAGAAAGAAGAAGAGCAGGAAGGACGCCUCGAGGAACUGCUCGGCCUCCACAUCCCAAGGUCGCAAGGCCAGCACGGCCCCUGGGGCGGAGGGUGAGGACCACAGGCAUCGGGGAGAGGAGGCGCAGUUACUCCCCGGGGAAGUCGGGCGAGCAGUGGUCGGGGACGCUCAGUCAUGCCUCUGUGCAGCCGGGCCUGAGAUGUGAGGGCCAGGCGCCGCAGGAGCCAGGAAGGGGCUCCUCUGGGAAGCUCCAUCUCUGUUCUGGAAAGCUCCUCAGGAAGCGCUCACCCUGUAGACGGUCUGUGCCUGCCCCAGGCCAGAGCAGGGGACGAAGGUUUACCUCUUCCCCUCCUGGCCUUCCAGCCUCACCUUCUCCCUGCAUCACAGAGAGAAGCAAGCAGAAGGCCCGGAGGAGACCAAGAUCCAGCUCCUCCUCCUCUUCUUCCAGUUCUCCUAGCUCCUCUUCUUCCUCCUCGUCCUCCUCCUCUUCCUCCAGUGAUGGCCGGAAGAAGCGGGGGAAGUAUAAGGACAAGAGGAGGAAGAAGAAGAAGAAGAGGAAGAAGCUGAAGAAGAAGAGCAAGGAGAAGGCGGAAGCACAGCAGGUGGAGGCUCUGCCGGGCCCCUCGCUGGACCAGUGGCACCGAUCAGCUGGGGAGGAAGAGGAUGGCCCAGGUAUUGUGCUGCCCAGCACCUGGGAGGGAGAAGGUCGCUUCCCAAGGCCUGGCCACCACCUCCGUCUUCCCUUCCAGUCCUGACGGAUGAGCAGAAGUCCCGAAUCCAGGCCAUGAAGCCCAUGACCAAGGAGGAGUGGGAUGCCCGGCAGAGCAUCAUCCGCAAGGUGGUGGACCCCGAGACGGGGCGCACCAGGCUUAUUAAGGGAGAUGGCGAGGUCCUAGAGGAAAUCGUAACCAAAGAACGACACAGAGAGAUCAACAAGGUGGGUGUGGCCCCUCUGCCUGCCAUCUGCCCCCAGCUCUGUUUGUGAUGUACCCCUCCUCCUGUGUGCUUUCUUCCCCAGCAAGCCACCCGAGGGGACGGCCUGGCCUUCCAGAUGCGAGCUGGGUUGCUUCCCUGAGGGCCCCCGCUGGCCAAGGCCUGUGGACGGCGCUGGCGGCCCAGCCUGGGCAGGUUUCAGGGUGCCAGUGGGAAGCCUGAUGGGUGCUGGUGGCCUUUCCCCCAUGGAUUGGUCUCUGGCCCAGCCCAGUCUCUUCUUAGGGGCAGGGGGUGGAGGUUGGGGUCACCGGCCUGCUUGGCACCCCCAUCUGAAAGAGCAGCACUUCUCAGCUAUUAAAGGCCCCCUGGAUAG